ACGCUCGACACCUACGUGAGGCAGCAGUCGGGAAUAUUGCGCAAUGGAGGAAACUCUGACGCAGUGACGCCGCGUGCAGGAAGAAGGUUUUCGGAUUGUAAACUGCUUUAGACAGGGAAGAAAGAAAUGACAGUACCUGUAGAAUAAGCUCCGGCUAACUACGUGCCAGCAGCCGCGGUAAUCUGAGCGGGCUGGCAAGGC
rnacentral:rRNA from 1 species